rnacentral:lncRNA from 1 species
UGCUCUGAAUGUAUUUUGCUUAUGUCGCUCAACUUGAUGUUUUUGCCACCUAUCCACAUAUAUGUUUUGUUCCUCUUUUGGACUUAAUGUUUUAAAGGAAGAAACCAAGGAGGAAGAGGUUUAUUCACACAAGAACAGCUAUCUGUACCUAUGUUUCCGCCUGUCUCUGAUUGGAGACUGAAGUCAGGAGGACUUCUUGGAAGAAGCAAGGAACUGAAUUUGGUUUUUGAAAGAGACUGAGAAAAUGCUGAGUGUGAAUGUUGUGGGGGCAUUUCAGAGAUACCCCUUACAAUAAUUCCAUAGACUAGGAAUUGUGAGAUUUGUUGUAUGAUCUUUCUUUCAUUAUUUAGUUAUAGAUUCUAUGGCUUUUUAAAUAUUUAGGUUAGACAAAUGUUUUGACUGUGGAAGAUACAUUUAAAAAGGGAUGCUAAACAAAUCAAGAUUUACUAAAACUGAACAACAGAAAUCCUGUAAAACACUAUCAUUUAAGCCCAACAGGUGGACACACAAACCAAUUACAAAUCAAAGAGGCUUUGAUCCAUGGAGUCUUUGGUGUAUGCCGAAUAAAAUACAUUCAAAAUGUAUUUGUAGUGUGAGAUAAAGAUAUAAAGGUCACUUUGUAAGUGCUGCCUAUGUUAGUAGUUUUAAUUUUACCUUGUCAGUGCCUCUGUGUACAAAACUGAAGAAAGCAAGACUUUGAUUUGUUCAGGUUUCCUUAAGGAGGGACACAGAAUCCUUGAAGCAUGAUUUGAAAAAGAUGGAUAAGAUAUUCUACCCAAAAUUCAACAUCACCUUUAAUCUUGCCCUCUCCUCCUCUAAUCCCUAGGUAAUGUUUUGUGCUUCUUUUGCAGAAAAGCAAUUUUGUUAAUCACUUUAGCACCAAUUCUUGCAUCCCUGGCAAUACUCAGAACUGCUUCCAUCCAAGUCUUUGAUGUGGGAAAGAAACACACACACACUCUUUCGCAUGUAAUCUGAAAACAAUUCACCUCUUGCCAAUGAAUGCACAGCACUCCACUUUAAUAGAGAGCAAGUUCUGUGGAGGUUUCUAAUCCUUUCUGCCAAAGAAGAGAAGAGAGAGAAUCACUCAGCUUCUAUUGCAGAUGUGAAGUUUAGCAUUUCUUUGCUCACUCUUUUACUGGGAAACUCUUCUAGCGGAAAGCCUGUCAUCUGUUGUGAAGGAGAGCUGGUGUUGACUUGAAGCAACAGAGUUGGUGGUCCAGUGGCCAUUGUCCUGUGUUAGGAGCAGGAUCCCAUCCAGAAUACAUUACCUUUAGUCAUCAUGUCUCCUGUGGCUCUUCUUGGCUGUGACAGUUUCUCAGCUUUCCCAGUUUUAAUGAACUUGCCAUUUUCAUCAGAUUGUACCAAGACCUACUAUCAAUAUGACUUAUGACUAGUGGUGCUGACCUUGAUCACCUGGCUGAGGUAGUUCUUGUCAGGCUUCUCCACUGUCGAGUUGCUCUCCCCAUCCCCCUUUUCCAUAUUGUACUCUUUGAAAGAAAGUCACUAUAUGCAGCCCUUCCUUAAAAAUAUUAAAAUGAACUAGCUUAAUUAAGUUCUUUCUUACAUUUAGGUGUAAAUACCUCUGAGGUUUUUUUCUUUUAAAAAAUGAUUAUCUAUGUAAUACAUACUCACUGCACAAGACUUUAAAAAUGCAAGAAAAGUAUAAAGCAGCAGCAAAUAGAACUACCCAUAAUUCCAUCUGUCACAAGCAACCAUUUCUAGCUUUUUGUCAUAUUUCCUUCCAGUUUUUUUUCUUCUGCAUAAAAUAACUAUUUUUAUUUCUAUUUAUUUAUUUUUUUGAGACAGAGUUUCACUCUGUCACCAGGCUGGAGUGCCGUGGCACAAUCUCGGUUCUCUACAACCUCCACCUCCCAGGUUCAAGGGAUUCUCCUGCCUCAGCCUCCUGAGUAGCUGGGACUACAGGCGUGCACCACCAUGCCCAGCUAAUUUUUGUAUUUUUAGUAGAGACGGGGUUUCACCAUGUUGGCCAGGAUGGUCUUGAUCUCUUGACCUUGUGAUCCACCCGCCUCGGCCUCCCAAAGUGCUGGGAUUACAGGCAUGAGCCAUCGCGCCUGGCCAAAAUAACUAUUUUUAAAUAGCACUUGCUUGAAAUUAUUUCAUAGGUGGUAAAAAUAUUUUAUCUUUGAAUAUGGCAAAGAAGAUGGAUUCAUAUAAAACCAGAGCAGAUCUUGGUGGUACUUCAAGAUAUAAACUACCAACCCAAUAGAUAAUUUCUGAAAAUAACAUUUUAGAGUCUCUUCCUCUAUUUUUGAGAAGCUUGAAUAUUUACAAAUACAGCAUUCACUGUGAGACUUCUUGUUUCUUUUCCUUUCUAAGACUUUUAACUUGUUGUUUAUUUUACUAUUACAUGAAACACAUUUUAUUUUAAUUUUUAAAGUUUUAGUGUUUUUUGAGACAAGGUCUCAUUCUGUUGCCCAGUUUGGAGUGCAGUGGCAUGAACAUGGCUCACUGCAGCCUCAACUUUUUGGGCUCAAGUAAUCCUCUAGCUUCAGCUUCACGAGUAGCUGGGACUACAGGUAUACACCACCACACCUACCUAAUUUAUUCUUACAGUUUUUAGAGACGGGGGUCUCGCUGUGUUGCCCAGGCUGGUCUUGAACUCCUGGGCUCAAGCAAUCUUCCUGCCUCAGCCUCCCAAAGUGCUGGGAUUACAGGGAUGAGUCACCAUACCCAGCCUUAUUUAAAUAAGGUUUGAGGAAACUUGGGUAGCUGGUUAAAACUCUGGCAAUGAUCUAGGUUUCAAAUCAUCAAAUUCCUUUUUGCAUGGUGUAUAGACUCAUGACAACUCUUAUUUUUUUAAAGACUUUAUUUUGUACAUGCUUCUUAUUAAAAAAUUAAUACAGAAAAGUACAAAGUAAAAUCCCAAAAUUCUAUCACCUAAAAAAACCAUUAUUAACAUUAUUCCACAAACCUUCCCUUUGCAUAUAUACACAGAGAGAUAAAUUUACACAAAAGGCUCACACAUACCAUACAUAGUUACUAAAUGAGGAUGAAGCAAAAUGAAGAAAUUGAAGAAAAUGAAGCUGAAACAAAAUGAAGGAAUUACCAAAUUUUAGCUAAAUGUUCUUUUGCAAGACACUUUAGUUCCUAACAAUCCCUUUGAAGUUUUGAAAAAAGAUUAUGAAAAGCAUUAAGAGUUUGAAAGUCUACAUAAUUAACUUUUUUUUUUUUUUUUUUUUGAGACAGGGUCUUGCUCUGUUGCCCAUGCUGGAGUGCCUUGGUGUGAUCAUGGCUCACUGCAGCCUUGACCUCCCAGGCUCAACUGGUCCUCCCACUUCAGCCUCCGAAGUAGCUGGGACCACAGAUGUGUGUCACCAAGCCCGGCUAAUUUUUUAAAAUUCUUUUGUAGAGACAGGAUCUUCCAGUGUUGCCCAGGCUGGUCUUGAACUCCUGGAGGCUGGUCUUGAACUCCUGGGCUCAAAAACAAUCCUCCUACCUCAGGCUUCCAAAGUGCCAGGAUUACAGGUGUGAGCCACCGUGGCUGGCUGGAAAACUCUUCUAAUAGUGGCUGGCAUGUAGUAAGUGCUUAUAGUAAAUGUAAGCCAAUGCUAUUAUAGAGGAAUAAUGGUGAGCAUCUGGGCCCACGUAUGAUAUUGAAAUCUGUCACUCACAAAAUAAUCUCUUUGUCUCUCAUUCAUCUCAGAAUAAUUUUCCUGUUAAAUCUACCAGCUCCUGAGGGGCCCUGAGGGUAUAACCAAUGAGUAUGUGGGCACCAAUGUAAUGAAUGUGUGAAUAGGUGAUUCUGUCAUCUGUUUAUAAGAAUGACCAGAAUACAAAAUUCUAGCCUUUUUACAAUCCUAAACAUAUACUAUGUGCUACCAAUAACAGCAACAAUCACCAUCAUGCAUGUCACUUACAUGUACACACUAACAUAAAGAACUUUAUAUCUCUGCUUUAAAAUCCUCUUUAAAAGUAAACUAUUAGCCUGGGUAACAUGGUGAGACCUUGUCAAUGAAAUAAAAAAAUUAGCCAGGCACCUGUAGGCCCAGCUGCUCUG